GUACACACCGCCCGUCGCUCCUACCGAUUUCGAGUGGUCAGGUGAACCAUCUGGAUUGAUCAGCAAUGGUCGAGAAGUUUAGUAAACCUUAUCACUUAGAGGAAGGAGAAGUCGUAACAAGGUUUCCGUAGGUGAACCUGCAGAAGGAUCA
rnacentral:rRNA from 1 species